rnacentral:rRNA from 1 species
UACGUAGGGAGCAAGCGUUGUUCGGAUUUACUGGGCGUAAAGGGCGCGUAGACGGCAUAUUAAGUCAUCUGUGAAAUCUCCGAGCUUAACUCGGAACUGUCAGCUGAUACUGAUGUGCUAGAGUGCGGAAGGGGCAAUCGGAAUUCUUGGUGUAGCGGUGAAAUGCGUAGAUAUCAAGAGGAACACCUGAGGUGAAGACGGGUUGCUGGGCCGACACUGACGCUGAGUGCGCGAAAGCCAGGGGAGCAAACGGG